rnacentral:rRNA from 1 species
ACUCCUACGGGAGGCAGCAGUGGGGAAUUUUGGACAAUGGGCGAAAGCCUGAUCCAGCCAUUCCGCGUGUGUGAUGAAGGCCUUCGGGUUGUAAAGCACUUUUGUCAGGGAAGAAACAGCGAUGAAUAAUACUUGUCGCGAAUGACGGUACCUGAAGAAUAAGCACCGGCUAACUACGUGCCAGCAGCCGCGGUAAUACGUAGGGUGCAAGCGUUAAUCGGAAUUACUGGGCGUAAAGCGUGCGCAGGCGGUUCGGAAAGAAAGAUGUGAAAUCCCAGAGCUCAACUUUGGAACUGCAUUUUUAACUACCGGACUAGAGUGUGUCAGAGGGGGGUGGAAUUCCGCGUGUAGCAGUGAAAUGCGUAGAGAUGCGGAGGAACACCGAUGGCGAAGGCAGCCCCCUGGGAUAACACUGACGCUCAUGUACGAAAGCGUGGGUAGCAAACAGGAUUAGAUACCCUGGUAGUCCACGCCCUAAACGAUGUCAACUAGCUGUUGGGGCCUUCGGGCCUUAGUAGCG